UCAGGUGACCGGGCCAACUUCUCUGUUUCUCAUGUCAAAACAAGAACAAAGGACUAUUCAGAUUGGAAAACAGCAUGAUAGAGCAACAUUAAAUUCAGCACUGAGAAUAAAGUCAAUUCUUCUGCCAUCAACUAUUUCCAACAUGGACAAGAAUUCUGAAGUUUUCUCGGGUGAUCAGGCUGCCACCUUCACUCCAAAGAAUAUCUUCACAAAUUAGAUUCAAGAUCACAAUGAGCUGUCAGAUCCCAGAAAGCAUCGAGGCACUGAGCUAUAUCUCCACAUGCUGCUGACGAAAAAUACUGCCC